AUUGAACGCUGGCGGCAGGCUUAACACAUGCAAGUCGAACGGUAACAUAAAGAAGCUUGCUUUUUUGAUGACGAGUGGCGGACGGGUGAGUAAUGCUUGGGAAUCUAGCUUAUGGAGGGGGAUAACUACGGGAAACUGUAGCUAAUACCGCGUAAUAUCGAAAGAUUAAAGUGUGGGACCUUCGGGCCACAUGCCAUAGGAUGAGCCCAAGUGGGAUUAGGUAGUUGGUGAGGUAAAGGCUCACCAAGCCGACGAUCUCUAGCUGGUCUGAGAGGAUGACCAGCCACACUGGGACUGAGACACGGCCCAGACUCCUACGGGAGGCAGCAGUGGGGAAUAUUGCGCAAUGGGGGCAACCCUGACGCAGCCAUGCCGCGUGAAUGAAGAAGGCCUUCGGGUUGUAAAGUUCUUUCGGUAGCG
rnacentral:rRNA from 1 species